GGGGAAUAUUGCACAAUGGGCGAAAGCCUGAUGCAGCAACGCCGCGUGAGUGAUGAAGGCCUUCGGGUCGUAAAGCUCUGUCUUCGGGGACGAUAAUGACGGUACCCGAGGAGGAAGCCACGGCUAACUACGUGCCAGCAGCCGCGGUAAUACGUAGGUGGCAAGCGUUGUCCGGAUUUACUGGGCGUAAAGGGAGCGUAGGCGGAUACUUAAGUGGGAUGUGAAAUACCCGGGCUCAACCCGGGUGCUGCAUUCCAAACUGGGUAUCUAGAGUGUGGGAGAGGAAAGUGGAAUUCCUAGUGUAGCGGUGAAAUGCGUAGAGAUUAGGAAGAACACCAGUGGCGAAGGCGACUUUCUGGACCAUAACUGACGCUGAGGCUCGAAAGCGUGGGGAGCAAAC
rnacentral:rRNA from 1 species